rnacentral:rRNA from 1 species
CAGCAGCCACGGGAAUACGUAGGGUGCAAGCGUUAUCCGGAAUUAUUGGGCGUAAAGAGCUCGUAGGCGGUUUGUCGCGUCUGCUGUGAAAACUGGAGGCUCAACCUCCAGCCUGCAGUGGGUACGGGCAGACUAGAGUGCGGUAGGGGAGAUCGGAAUUCCUGGUGUAGCGGUGGAAUGCGCAGAUAUCAGGAGGAACACCGAUGGCGAAGGCAGAUCUCUGGGCCGUAACUGACGCUGAGGAGCGAAAGCGUGGGGAGCGAACAGGAUUAGAGACCCCAGUAGUCCCUGUCUCUUAUAC